rnacentral:rRNA from 1 species
GCCGGUGCUUAUUCUGUCGGUAACGUCAAAACAAUAACGUAUUAGGUUACUGCCCUUCCUCCCAACUUAAAGUGCUUUACAAUCCGAAGACCUUCUUCACACACGCGGCAUGGCUGGAUCAGGCUUUCGCCCAUUGUCCAAUAUUCCCCACUGCUGCCUCCCGUAGGAGUCUGGACCGUGUCUCAGUUCCAGUGUGACUGAUCAUCCUCUCAGACCAGUUACGGAUCGUAGCCUUGGUGAGCCAUUACCUCACCAACUAGCUAAUCCGACCUAGGCUCAUCUAUUAGCGCAAGGCCCGAAGGUCCCCUGCUUUCUCCCGUAGGACGUAUGCGGUAUUAGCGUUCCUUUCGAAACGUUGUCCCCCACUAAUAGGCAGAUUCCUAGGCAUUACUCACCCGUCCGCCGCUGAAUCGAAGAGCAAGCUCUUCUCAUCCGCUCGACUUGCAUGUGUUAGGCCUGCCGCCAGCGUUCAA